rnacentral:rRNA from 1 species
CGAAGGGGCUAGCGUUGUUCGGAAUUACUGGGGCGUAAAGCGCACGUAGGCGGGUAUUUAAGUCAGGGGUGAAAUCCCAGAGCUCAACUCUGGAACUGCCUUUGAUACUGGGUACCUAGAGUAUGGAAGAGGUGAGUGGAAUUCCGAGUGUAGAGGUGAAAUUCGUAGAUAUUCGGAGGAACACCAGUGGCGAAGGCGGCUCACUGGUCCAUUACUGACGCUGAGGUGCGAAAGCGUGGGGAGCAAACAGGAUU